rnacentral:tRNA from 1 species
CGGGGCGUGGCGCAGCCUGGUAGCGCGCUUGCAUGGGGUGCAAGAGGUCGUGGGUUCGAGUCCCGCCGCCCCGA